rnacentral:rRNA from 1 species
GACGAACGCUGGCGGCGUGCCUAAUACAUGCAAGUCGAACGCAGUGGGGACGGGUGAGUAACACGUGGGUAACCUCCCAUCAGAGGGGAUAACACUUGGAAACUGGUGCUAAACCGAUACUGAUGGAUGGACCCGCUGUGCAUUAGCUAGUUGGUGAGGUAACGGCUCACCAAGGCCACGAUGCAUAGCCGACCUGAGAGGAGGAUCGGCCACACUGGGACAGAGAAACGGCCCAGACUCCUACGGGAGGCAUCAGUAGGGAAUCUUCGGCAAUGGACGAAAGGCUGACCGAGCAACGCCGCGUGAGUGAAGAAGGUUUUCGGAUCGUAAAGCUCUGUUGUUAGAGAAGCGGUAUCUAACCAGAAAGCCACGGCUAACUACGUGCCAGCAGCCGCGGUAAUAC